rnacentral:rRNA from 1 species
CUACGGGACGCAGCAGUGGGGAAUAUUGGACAAUGGGGGAAACCCUAAUCCAGCAAUGCCGCGUGUGUGAAGAAGGCCUGCGGGUUGUAAAGCACUUUCGGUUGGGAGGACUGCUUCUAGUACUAAUAUUGUUGGAAGUUGACGUUACCUUCAGAAGAAGCACCGGCUAACUCCGUGCCAGCAGCCGCGGUAAUACGGGGGUGCAAGCGUUAAUCGGAAUUACUGGGCGUAAAGCGCGCGUAGGCGGCUAGAUCAGUCGGGUGUGAAAGCCCCGGGCUUAACCUGGAAACUGCAUCCGAUACUGGCUAGCUUGAGUACAGGAGAGGAGAGUGGAAUUCCACAUGUAGCGGUGAAAUGCGUAGAUAUGUGGAGGAACACCAAUGGCGAAGGCAGCUCUCUGGCCUGAUACUGACGCUGAGGUGCGAAAGCGUGGGGAGCAAACAGGAUUAGAUACCCGGGUAGUC